UUCGCAAUGCCCGAAAGGGUGACGAAGCGACGCCGCGUGCGGGAGGAAGGCCUUCGGGUUGUAAACCGCUGUCGGGAGUUAAGAAAUGCAAGGAUGUUAAUAGCGUUCUUGCUUGACUAAGGCUCCGGAGGAAGCCACGGCUAACUCUGUGCCAGCAGCCGCGGUAAUACAGAGGCGGCAAGCGUUGUUCGGAAUUAUUGGGCGUAAAGAGCACGUAGGCGGCUGUGUAAGUCGGUUGUGAAAGCCUUCCGCUCAACGGAAGAACGGCAUCCGAUACUGCAUGGCUUGAGUGUGGGAGGGGAGAGUGGAACUUCUGGUGGAGCGGUGAAAUGCGUAGAUAUCAGAAGGUACACCGGCGGCGAAGGCGACUCUCUGGUCCAUAACUGACGCUGAGUGUGCGAAAGCUAGGGGAGCAAACGGGAUUAGAUACCCCGGUAGUCCUAACUGUAAACGAUGGGCACUAAGUAGAGGGGUUUU
rnacentral:rRNA from 1 species